rnacentral:misc_RNA from 1 species
CAGUACUACAGAGGUGCUCAGGUUGUCGCUGACCUUUUGGUCGUGCACGCCCGAGUGCUCUCAAUCCAUGUCACCCUUUGUGCAUCACCGCGCGAGGUCUCUUCCUCUUGGCUUGCUUCAAGAGGGGGAGGUUCGCGUUUUUCAUACAAACACCCUUUUAGUUUAGAAUGUCAUUCAUUUGCGAUAAUACGCAAUCAAUA